CUAAGGAACUCCGGGUGGCUGUGUAGAACCAUCCUCACCCUAGAAAGGGGGAAACUGAAAGAAAAAGCAGAACACGCCAUUAACAAGGCCAGAACCCCGACUGCCAUUCCUGGACGGGAGCCACCAACACCCGCAAAAUCGAUCGAUUCAGCCUGGGACGCUUGCUGUUUCCGAACCUCUGUUGCCACCUAUCCCAGUUUGGAGGGAAUUUUCCCAAGGAUGGUGAAGAAGGGAUUUCCACACGCCGCCUCACUCAGCCCCGCACCCCUGGCCACCAGCCAGGACUUAGGGUGUAGUUAAGGAUCUUUCAAUUAGAAGGGAGGCUUCUGAUUCCCAAAAGCACUCAAAAUAUUUAAGGAAGUGCUUUUUAUAAUCAGUCCUAGAGCCUUGCUGCACUGGAUACUCCUGUUAAUUAAUUUCUUCUCCUUUGACAUUUUAAGUGCUAAUUAUAGGAGAAGGUGAUUAACACUGAGAAAGGAGGAGGGGUGUGUGUGUGUGUGUGUGUGUGUGUGUGUGUGUUUUUAAUCAUGACACAAAUUUCCCCCAGUGGAAAGUGACAUGUUUCUGGAGAUCCAGGGAAUUUAAACCAAUGAAUACAUAAAAACAGUCACAUGAGUGAUGACUAACAGUAGCAGUAGACAGGCCACCACUCUUCCUUGCCAUAGUCAUCCAAAAUGAAAUGAGCAUCUUUUGAAAACCUAAGCCUCAUUCUACUCCUGUCCCUCUUUUGUCACUCCUAUCUUCCUGUUUUCCAGGCUUCAUGACCACACUGCUGUAGGAAGCCAUAAGUUGGAAAUCAACGGGCCUGGCUUGAAGUGUGGCCUUAGGCAACACCGUUCUCAUCUACAUCUGGAUUCUCCAACAAAGCUGGGAAAAAAACGAUCCAAGGGAAGCCAAUCAAAGAGCCUGGAUUGCCAGUCUUCCCUGCUGCGAUCUCCGCCUGCGAUUCUCCAGGGGAAAUGUCCUUUAUGACCUUACAGCUCACCUGGAACCCUCCACCUAGGGCCCGAGGCAGCACAUCCUCUCGUGCCCGGGCACUUCCAGGCAUUGCCCUGAGUACUGGGCACUUCACACACUGGGCUGGACCACUCACCGGAGUGAAUAAGGAGGCUUGAAGCUGUCCUGGUACAACAAUGGAAUGAAGCGCUAGUCUCAGCUCAGCCACUUGGAAUAUGACUCCAACUCUCACAUUUCUGUGGGGUGUAUUCAUUUCAGCUUUUUGUUUGGUGCUAUGGGGAGGGAAGGGCCCUCAGACUGGCAUCCUUUUUCUUCCAGGAUGAUGAUGAAUAUUAUGAAAGUCUGAGGCUGUUUUUAAAAUUCUGCUCUAAUACGUUGUUUUUCUGUGCAUAAGAAUUAUGUAUUCUUAGCUGCAAAACUGGAAUCCGUCUGCUCAUGGAUAAACUUCUGGCCAUGAGCAUGUACCUUUCAGGAAACUGCGAUUGCAUUUAAGACCCACCCAGGUAAUCCAAGAUGAUCUUCCCAUCUCAAGACCCUUAACUGAAUCCCACCUCCAAAGUCCCUUUUGCCAGGUAAGGCAACAUUCCCAGGUCCCGGGGAUUAGGAUCUACAUAUGUUCGGGAGUGACUAUUGAGCCUACCAUGCAUACCACGCUCCUUCCCUCACCAGGGUCUUUGUACCUCUUGUCCCCCAUUACUAGAAUGCUCCCUUCUUCCCUCUCACUCUUUGCUUGGCCAUAUCUUUCUCAUUCUUGGGGACACAGCUUACCUGGCACCUCCUCAGACAACCUGUCUCGGACCAGCCCCUUAACAGCCUGAAGACUUUUUUUUUUUUUUUUUUGAUACGGAGUCUUGCUCUGUUGCCCAGGCUAGAGUG
rnacentral:lncRNA from 1 species